AAAACAUAUCUAACCCUCCCCCUUCUCUACGCACAAUCUCACAACUACUCUUACUUGUCUUUCAAAAUCACUUUUUUUCACUCAAUCCCAUCUUAACACAAAAGAAAAGGAAUUGAAAGGGAAUUGAUGAAUCGAAGCUUGGCGCCAAGGUUUCAAGAUUGAAUAUCGCAAAAAGGUAAGUUUUUUGAUGCAUAAUCCUUCUUAAAAACUUCUUCUUCUGUACUAGGGGACCACAAACCCUAAUUUGAUAAUGUUAUGUGGUCCCAAAAACCCUAAUUUAUUCUUGUUUACUUGGGAUUUGAAUUCUAAGUAAUUUUUAAAGCAAAAAACUACAAUUUCUUUCUAGUAUGUGUUGUUUUAACUCAAUUUCAUUGUUACUUAAACUCAAUUUCAUAGUAAUUAGUCUUAAUCGUGAAUAAAAAAUUGGGUUUUUUUGGUAGUAAACCCUAAUUAGGGUUAGUUGUAUAUAAAUUAGGGAAACACAUGAUAAUUAGGGUUAACUGUAUAUAAAUUACGGAAAACAUGAUAAUUAGGAUUUUUUUAGAAAGAAUUUGUUUGUAAUUGACUAUUAUUGUAUGUUGUUGUCUUUAGCCAAUGUGAUUCAAGGUUUUUGCAUGUUUUUUAUUUUGAAACAAAAUGUGCAUAAUGCAUGAGAUUUAAAAUUUGAUUAAUAUGUAUAAGAUAUUUAUACAUAUUUGAUGUUUGAUAUAUAGAUCACACAACUAUACAUAUAUAGAAAUCUAAAGAGCAUGUGGUUCACCUAAGCUGUCCAUUUGCUUGAUUGUCUGGAGUAAUGUAAGUCUGUGAUUCUAAUAUGUUUUAUGUUAUUAAUACUCUACUAUAUAGUUCAAAACUUUAUAUUAAUUAUAAAUUUUUAAUACAAAGAUUUUUUCAAAACAUUUCUAAACUUUAUAUUUUCUGUUACUGGAGUUGCAGACCAUGUUUUCUUUGCACAAAACAAUGUGUCGAAGAAGAAAUUCACUGUGGACCUAGUUGAUGUAAUACCCAAGAAUCUGCAGAUUCAGAUGGAGAAGAAGGUUCAGUCAGUUGAACCAAAUGGGUCGAACCGACCCAUUUUCUGUUUUUGACCCGUUUUACGAUUUUGACCCGUUUUCAUGUUAUAAAAACCAGAUCUGAUUUUCAGCACGAAUUUUCUUAUUAAAAAUCAAUUAAGAAGCUUAAGAAGAAGAAGAAAAACCUUCUAAAACCUAGAGUUUUGAUUGGGUAUUGCUUGCUUACAUUGUUUUGAUUAAUUGGUGGCUUAGAAUUGGAUUUUCUUUCUUGUUUGUGCAUCUUGGUUGUGUUCAUCUUCAAAGGUAAGUUAUAUUACUUGAUGUUUAAUUUCUCUUAGUUUCUAGAUUAGGUUGAAGUAACCCCUUGUUAGCAUGUUUAAUUUGUUUAUUAUAAUUGAAUUGCAUGAUAAAAUAUGAUUUAGUAAGAAGAACUCAAUAAAGUUACAAUCUUGUUAAUAUUUAACUAUGUAUUAAUGCUGAAAUUUAACUUUAAGAACAUAUUAAUGUAGGAAUUGGUAAUUUAAAACAUGCUUAAUGUUAAUUCAAUGUCCCAAAGCAUAAUAGAUUAUUAUAUUGCUUAAUUUGUACUUUGUAUGAUGAAUAAAACAUGAUUAUAUUAAAUUUAUUAAUGUUGAAAUUUAUAUUUUAAAAUAUGUUAUUAUUGGGUUUGAAGAUUUGAUUUGGUAUUGUAGUGUUUGAUUGAACCCAUUGGUUAUGGACUUUCUUACUUUAGAAUUUUCUGAACUUGACAUCAUACUUGUUUAUGUUGUUCGUCAUAUAUAUUUAUAUGGACAAUAAAUGGAAUAGAAUGGUUGGAUUGAACCAUGUAUUGGAUUAGAUUUGGGCGUGUUAAACAAAUUAACACAUGACCCGUAUGAUGGGGAGAUGUCCCGGAAUGUUGUCACAUGACAUAGCUCGAUGAGUGUAUGGCUAUGAUGCGUACGACUCGGUGCUACUGCACAACUUUGUAUAUGAAUUUCAUGGAUUGAAAUUGAUGGAUUUGGAUGGACUUGAUGAUUUGGUUUGAGAUUAAAAUUGAUGGAAUUUGAUUGAUUAGAUUGAUUUGGGCGUGUUAGUUAUACUAACACAGAACCCGUGGAUUUUGGGCGUGUUGAUUCUUGUAACACAUGACCUGUUGGGAGACGUCCCUAAGUUAUGUCAAAUGACAUAGCUUGAUGAGUGUAUGGCUGCGAUGCGUACGACUUGGUGCUACUGCACAACUUGGCACUUGAUGUGUGGAUUUGGAUUGACGUAAUAUGAUGGAUUGGAAUUACUGGAUAAGGACUUGAUCUGAUAUUGUAGAUUGAUUGAAAUAGAUUUUGAUUAUUUGAUUAUUGGAACUGGAAACAUGAUUGACAUUGCGGAUUACCAGAGAAUGAUCUUGUUGAUUUAUUUAUCAUUGUGUUAAAUGUUAGAAUAAAUUGAUUAGUAUUUAUAAUUGUUUAUCUUUAGGAUGCGCGGAUUCUUUUUCUGGGAAUUAAGAUCGAACCUCAAGUUUUGUAACUUGCUAGAGUUUAACGUCUUCCUUUUUCCCUUUUCAGGAUACAAGUGUUUUAGAGAUGAAGUCUUCGAUAAGAGUUUGGUGGAGGUUGUUCUUGAUGAGUUGCUCAUAUGUCUAGUUGGAGUUUGAUGAGUUGUAACCUUCGGGCAUGACUCUGAUGUAUAUUUAUUUUUAUAUAGUUUGUAUUUUGUUUAGUCUUCCGCUGUUAGUUUAGUAUUUGUUGUUUAUUUUAUUAUGUUCUUCUGUGGUCUAGAGGUGUGAUGUCAUGUGACAAUAGUGUGACCCUACGGUCCAUGGAGGACAUAUGAAGAUCAUUAUGACUCUAUUGCCCGAUUUUGGCCUGGCCAGCUAGGAUCGGAUUUCAGGGGUGUUACAGUUGGUAUCAGAGCUUAGAGUUUGUUUGUCCUUUAGGGAGAACCUGUGGAGUCUUUAGGAGUAUGAGCAACCAUUGGUAGAGUUUACUUUAAACUCUGUUUGAGUGGGGAUCGUUUUGAUCGAAUGAGGUUGUGUUUUAUUGAUAUCUUUGUGUUUUGUUGAUUUUUUAUAUAUGUANN
rnacentral:lncRNA from 1 species